rnacentral:rRNA from 1 species
CCCUUAGAUGUUCUGGGCUGCACCCGUGCUACACUGGCAGGUUCAGCGAGCUUCAUGCCCUGAUCUGAAAGGAAUGGGAAAUCUUUUCAAAACCUGCCGUGCUUGGGAUAGAUGUUUGCAAUUAUUCAUCUUCAACGAGGAUUGCCUUGUAAGCGCACGUCAUCAGCGUGCAUUGAAUACGACCCUGUAUUCUGUACACACCGCCCGUCGCUCCUACCGAUUGAAGUUUUCGGUGAGUUGACAGGAGGAUUUUUUUGAAACUGGUUCGCCAGUGGAUUUUAGAUCCAAAUGCCAACGAAUCGAUGGCUUUAGAGGAAGUAGAAGUCGUAACA